rnacentral:rRNA from 1 species
UCGAGAAUUUUUCUCAAUGGGGGAAACCCUGAAGGAGCGACGCCGCGUGGAGGAUGAAUGCUUUCGGGUUGUAAACUCCUGUCAUUUGGGAACAAAGCCUUACGUUAACUGCGUGGAGGUUUGAUAGUACCAGAAGAGGAAGAGACGGCUAACUCUGUGCCAGCAGCCGCGGUAAUACAGAGGUCUCAAGCGUUGUUCGGAUUCAUUGGGCGUAAAGGGCGCGUAGGCUGCGGGGUAAGUCGGGUGUGAAAUCUCAGAGCUCAACUCUGAAACUGCACUCGAUACUGCUCUGCUAGAGGACUGGAGAGGAGAUUGGAAUUCACGGUGUAGCAGUGAAAUGCGUAGAUAUCGUGAGGAAGACCAGUGGCGAAGGCGGAUCUCUGGACAGUUCCUGACGCUGAGGCGCGAAGGCCAGGGGAGCAAACG